rnacentral:rRNA from 1 species
AGCCUCGAAAGGGGUGACGGCGUACCUUUUGUAUAAUGGGUCAGCGACUUACGUUCAGUAGCAAGCUUAACCGAAUAGGGCAGGCGUAGCGAAAGCGAGUCCGAAUAGGGCGUUCAGUUGCUGGGCGUAGACCCGAAACCAGGUGAUCUAUCCAUGGCCAGGAUGAAGGUGCGGUAACACGUACUGGAGGUCCGAACCCACUAACGUUGAAAAGUUAGGGGAUGAGCUGUGGAUAGGGGUGAAAGGCUAAACAAACCUGGAAAUAGCUGGUUCUCUCCGAAAACUAUUUAGGUAGUGCCUCGUGUCUCACCUUCGGGGGUAGAGCACUGUCAUGGUUGGGGGGUCUAUUGCAGAUUACCCCGCCAUAGCAAACUCCGAAUACCGAAGAGUGCAAUCACGGGAGACAGACAUCGGGUGCUAACGUCCGGUGUCAAGAGGGAAACAACCCAGACCGCCAGCUAAGGUCCCCAAAUAUGGCUAAGUGGGAAACGAAGUGGGAAGGCUAAAACAGUCAGGAGGUUGGCUUAGAAGCAGCCACCCUUUAAAGAAAGCGUAAUAGCUCACUGAUCGAGUCGUCCUGCGCGGAAGAUGUAACGGGGCUAAGCCAUAUACCGAAGCUGCGGAUGCGUGCUUGCACGCAUGGUAGGAGAGCGUUCCGUAAGCCUGCGAAGGUGCCUUGUAAAGGGUGCUGGAGGUAUCGGAAGUGCGAAUGCUGACAUGAGUAGCGAUAAAGGGGGUGAAAGGCCCCCUCGCCGUAAGCCCAAGGUUUCCUACGCAACGUUCAUCGGCGUAGGGUGAGUCGGCCCCUAAGGCGAGGCAGAAAUGCGUAGCUGAUGGGAAGCAGGUCAAUAUUCCUGCACCAUUGUUAGAUGCGAUGGGGGGACGGAUCGCGGAAGGUUGUCCGGGUGUUGGAAGUCCCGGUCGCUGCAUUGGAGAAGGCGCUUAGGCAAAUCCGGGCGCAGGAUUCAAGGGUGUGGCGCGAGCUCCUUCGGGAGCGAAGCAAUUGGAAGUGGUUCCAAGAAAAGCCUCUAAGCUUCAGUCUAACGAUGACCGUACCGCAAACCGACACAGGUGGGCGAGAUGAGUAUUCUAAGGCGCUUGAGAGAACUCGGGAGAAGGAACUCGGCAAAUUGGUACCGUAACUUCGGGAUAAGGUACGCCCUGGUAGCUUGACUGGCCUGCGCCAGGAGGGUGAAGGGGUUG